AAUGGGCGAAAGCCUGACGGAGCGACGCCGCGUGGACGAUGAAGGCCGAAAGGUUGUAAAGUCCUUUUCUCUGUGAAGAAUAAGUGGGGGAGGAAAUGCCCCUAUGAUGACGUUAGCAGAGGAAUAAGCCCCGGCUAAUUACGUGCCAGCAGCCGCGGUAAUACGUAAGGGGCGAGCGUUGUUCGGAAUUAUUGGGUGUAAAGGGUGCGUAGGCGGUUUGACAAGUCUGGUGUUGAAGGCAACGGCUUAACCGUUGUUUGGCGCUGGAAACUGUUAGACUUGAGUUUAGGAGGGGGAGCUGGAAUUCCAGGUGUAGGGGUGAAAUCUGUAGAUAUCUGGAAGAACACCGGUGGCGAAGGCGAGCUCCUGGCCAUAGACUGACGCUGAGGCACGAAAGCGUGGGGAGCGAA
rnacentral:rRNA from 1 species